AAGAGAAGUUUGGAACAAGGAAAACUGCUAAUUUCUCCYUCCCAUGGUUCAAAUCCAUGUUCUCUUA
rnacentral:tRNA from 1 species